rnacentral:rRNA from 1 species
UGGGGAAUUUUGCGCAAUGGGCGAAAGCCUGACGCAGCAACGCCGCGUGUGUGAUGAAGGUCUUCGGAUCGUAAAGCACUGUCGCGAGGGACGAGAAGCCUUCCGUGAACAACGGAGGGAUCAGACGGUACCUCGAGAGGAAGCACCGGCUAACUCUGUGCCAGCAGCCGCGGUAAUACAGAGGGUGCGAGCGUUGUUCGGAAUUAUUGGGCGUAAAGCGCUUGUAGGCGGUCGCUUAAGUCUCAUGUGAAAGCCCUUGGCUCAACCAAGGAAGUGCAUGAGAUACUGAACGACUCGAGUGCCGGAGAGGGUCGCGGAAUUCCCGGUGUAGAGGUGAAAUUCGUAGAUAUCGGGAGGAACACCAGUGGCGAAGGCGGCGACCUGGACGGACACUGACGCUGAGACGCGAAAGCGUGGGGAGCAAACAGG